rnacentral:rRNA from 1 species
AGUGAACGCUGGCGGUAGGCCUAACACAUGCAAGUCGAACGGCAGCACAGUAAGAGCUUGCUCUUACGGGUGGCGAGUGGCGGACGGGUGAGGAAUACAUCGGAAUCUACUUUUUCGUGGGGGAUAACGUAGGGAAACUUACGCUAAUACUGCAUACGACAUACGGGUGAAAGCAGGGGAUCUUCGGACCUUGCUCGAUUUAAUGAGCCGAUGUCGGAUUAGCUAGUUGGCGGGGUAAAGGCCCACCAAGGCGACGAUCCGUAGCUGGUCUGAGAGGAUGAUCAGCCACACUGGAACUGAGACACAGUCAAGACUCCUACGCGAGGCAGAAGUGGGGAAUAUGGGUCUAGGGGCGCAAGCCUGAGCCAGCCAUACCGAGUGGGUGAAGAAGGCGUUCGGGUUGUAAAGCGCUUUUGGUGGGAAAGAAAAGCAGCAGGCUAAUACGCCGCGGUGCUGACGGUACCCAAAGAAUAAGCAACGGCUAACUUCGUG